rnacentral:rRNA from 1 species
AUUGAACGCUGGCGGCAGGCCUAACACAUGCAAGUCGAACGAGUGGCGGACGGGUGAGUAAUGUCUGGGAAACUGCCCGAUGGAGGGGGAUAACUACUGGAAACGGUAGCUAAUACCGCAUAACAUCCGAUGUGCCCAGAUGGGAUUAGCUAUGAGGUGGGGUAACGGCUCACCGAGGCGACCAUCCCUAGCUGCUCUGAGAGGAGGACCGGCCACACUGUAUGUAAAACACGGUCCAGACUCCUACGGGAGGCAGCAGUUGGGAAUAUUGCACAAUAGACGCUCGCCUGAUGCAGCCAUACCGCCUGUAUGAAGCAGGCCUUCGGGUUGUAAAGUACUUUCAGCGAGGAGGCAUUACUCGCAGAAGAAGCUCCGGCUAACUCCGUGCCAGCAGCCGCGGUAAUAC